rnacentral:misc_RNA from 1 species
GCGAUAAGUAAUGUGAAUUGCAGAAUUCAGUGAAUCAUCGAGUCUUUGAACGCACAUUGCGCCCCCUGGCAUUCCGGGGGGCAUGCCUGUCCGAGCGUCAUUGCUGCCCUUCAAGCCCGGCUUGUGUGUUGGGUCGUCGUCCCCUCCGGGGGACGGGCCCGAAAGGCAGCGGCGGCACCGCGUCCGGUCCUCGAGCGUAUGGGGCUUUGUCACCCGCUCGAUAAGGACCGGCCGGGCGCCAGCCGGCGUCUCCAACCUUUUUUUCUCAGGUUGACCUCGGAUCAGGUAGGGAUACCCGCUUAACUUAAGC